GCACCUAUCGUCUAAUGGUUAGGACAACUGCCUUUCGAGCAGUGAAUCGGAGUUCGAUUCUCCGUGGGUGUA
rnacentral:tRNA from 1 species